AGAUAUCAAACUAAGUUACACUUCGAUCAAUUUAAACUGAAGGUGAAGCAGAUGAUGCCCAAUAGGCUUAUGCGACGUGGUGAGCGCAUGUGCCAGAGGCGUCGUCAGAGUUCAGAGAAAAUGAGACAGCUAGUGUGCCCUUUGUACCAUGUUACGUACAGUAACUUGCCUAAACACCUGGCCGGGGUUCACAUAUCGGGCUUGCA